UACGAAGGGGGCUAGCGUUGCUCGGAAUUACUGGGCGUAAAGGGCGCGUAGGCGGCGCUCCAAGUUAGGCGUGAAAUUCCCGGGCUCAACCUGGGGACUGCGCUUAAGACUGGAGUGCUUGAGGAUGGAAGAGGGUUGUGGAAUUCCCAGUGUAGAGGUGAAAUUCGUAGAUAUUGGGAAGAACACCGGUGGCGAAGGCGGCAACCUGGUCCAUUACUGACGCUGAGGCGCGAUAGCGUGGGGAGCAAACAGG
rnacentral:rRNA from 1 species